CUUCCGUAGGUGAACCUGCGKMAGRMUCRUUACCUAGMGUUGUAGGCUUUGCCUGCUAUCUCUUACCCAUGUCUUUUAAGUACCUUACGUUUCCUCGGCGGGUCCGCCCGCCGAUUGGACAAUUUAAACCAUUUGCAGUUGCAAUCAGCGUCUGAAAAAACUUAAUAGUUACAACUUUCAACAACGGAUCUCUUGGUUCUGGCAUCGAUGAAGAACGCAGCGAAAUGCGAUAAGUAGUGUGAAUUGCAGAAUUCAGUGAAUCAUCGAAUCUUUGAACGCACAUUGCGCCCCUUGGUAUUCCAUGGGGCAUGCCUGUUCGAGCGUCAUUUGUACCUUCAAGCUCUGCUUGGUGUUGGGUGUUUGUCUCGCCUCUGCGUGUAGACUCGCCUCAAAACAAUUGGCAGCCGGCGUAUUGAUUUCGGAGCGCAGUACAUCUCGCGCUUUGCACUCAUAACGACGACGUCCAAAAGUACAUUUUUACACUCUUGACCUCGGAUCAGGUAGGGAKACCCGYUSMWMUUAAGCAUAUCAAUAAGCGGAGGA
rnacentral:rRNA from 1 species